CGUAGGGUGCGAGCGUUAAUCGGAAUUACUGGGCGUAAAGCGUGCGCAGGCGGUUAUGCAAGACAGAGGUGAAAUCCCCGGGCUCAACCUGGGAACUGCCUUUGUGACUGCAUAGCUAGAGUACGGUAGAGGGGGAUGGAAUUCCGCGUGUAGCAGUGAAAUGCGUAGAUAUGCGGAGGAACACCGAUGGCGAAGGCAAUCCCCUGGACCUGUACUGACGCUCAUGCACGAAAGCGUGGGGAGCAAACAGGAUUAGAUACCCUGGUAGUCCACGCCCUAAACGAUGUCAACUGGUUGUUGGGAGGGUUUCUUCUCAGUAACGUAGCUAACGCGUGAAGUUGACCGCCUGGGGAGUACGGCCGCAAGGUUG
rnacentral:rRNA from 1 species